AGCCGAGAUAGCUCAGUCGGUAGAGCAGAGGACUGAAAAUCCUCGUGU
rnacentral:tRNA from 1 species